UCCCUCAUAGCUCAGUCAGUAAAGGGUCUGCCUGCAAUGCAGGAGACCCAGGUUCAAUCCCUGGGUUGGGAA
rnacentral:tRNA from 1 species